rnacentral:rRNA from 1 species
UUGAACGCUGGCGGCAGGCCUAACACAUGCAAGUCGAGCGGAUGAAGGGAGCUUGCUCCUGGAUUCAACGGCGGACGGGUGAGUAAUGCCUAGGAAUCUGCCUGGUAGUGGGGGAUAACGUCCGGAAACGGGCGCUAAUACCGCAUACGUCCUGAGGGAGAAAGUGGGGGAUCUUCGGACCUCACGCUAUCAGAUGAGCCUAGGUCGGAUUAGCUAGUUGGUGGGGUAAAGGCCUACCAAGGCGACGAUCCGUAACUGGUCUGAGAGGAUGAUCAGUCACACUGGAACUGAGACACGGUCCAGACUCCUACGGGAGGCAGCAGUGGGGAAUAUUGGACAAUGGGCGAAAGCCUGAUCCAGCCAUGCCGCGUGUGUGAAGAAGGUCUUCGGAUUGUAAAGCACUUUAAGUUGGGAGGAAGGGCAGUAAGUUAAUACCUUGCUGUUUUGACGUUACCAACAGAAUAAGCACCGGCUAACUUCGUG